rnacentral:ribozyme from 13 species
UUUCUCUCUUUCUUGCUUCUCUUUUCUUUCUUUUCUUUUUUUUUCUGGGAGAGAAGGGGGAACAAGAGGAACAGAAACAAAAGACUCCACCGACAAAGGAAUAAGAACAUCAGAAUAAACAUCACCAAUAGAAAUGUUAUAAAUU